rnacentral:rRNA from 1 species
GCCGGUGACAAACCGGAGGAAGGUGGGGAUGACGUCAAAUCAUCAUGCCCCUUAUGACCUGGGCUACACACGUGCUACAAUGGCGUAUACAACGAGUUGCCAACCCGCGAGGGUGAGCUAAUCUCUUAAAGUACGUCUCAGUUCGGAUUGUAGGCUGCAACUCGCCUACAUGAAGUCGGAAUCGCUAGUAAUCGCGGAUCAGCACGCCGCGGUGAAUACGUUCCCGGGUCUUGUACACACCGCCCGUCACACCAUGAGAGUUUGUAACACCCAAAGCCGGUGGGGUAACCUUCGGGAGCCAGCCGUCUAAGGUGGGACAGAUGAUUAGGGUGAAGUCGUAACAAGGUAGCCGUAGGAGAACCUGCGGCUGGAUCACCUCCUUU